GGUGGCACAGUGGUUAAAGUGUUCAGCUGCUAACUGAAAGGUCGAUGGUUCGAACCCACCAGCCA
rfam:Loxodonta africana unplaced genomic scaffold scaffold_30, whole genome shotgun sequence.